GGACGGGUGAGUAACACGUAGGCAACCUGCCCACAAGACAGGGAUAACUACCGGAAACGGUAGCUAAUACCCGAUACAUCCUUUUCCUGCAUGGGCGAAGGAGGAAAGACGGAGCAAUCUGUCACUUGUGGAUGGGCCUGCGGCGCAUUAGCUAGUUGGUGGGGUAAAGGCCUACCAAGGCGACGAUGCGUAGCCGACCUGAGAGGGUGAUCGGCCACACUGGG
rnacentral:rRNA from 1 species